rnacentral:lncRNA from 1 species
AAAGACAUAUAUGUCUUCUAUUUGUAACAUCUUUUAUUCUUUAUUAAAAUUGAUGUUUGUGGUUCAAAUUAGAGCUUGUUGGAGGGCUUCAUUAGUAACCUCAAGUUAAAAGGGAUGAGACAUCAAGUUCUUACAGUUUCGAUAUCUAGAUGAAAUUCCCUCAAAAGUUGUAUAAACAUCCACCGUGUUCUUUUAAAGAUUGUUGAGAGUAAUACAAAGAAAAGAAUAAAAUAACAAAUUGCCUUUUCCCUUUGUAACUAAGAAGCAAAGCCAUGUGGAUGCCAAAAGUAAUGCAACAAUUUGAAAAGAGUAAACAGGGCGGUUGAUUAGUUAACUUCCAUAAUUCCGCAACAUUUGAUUCAAAAGACUUUAGCUUUAUCAAUUACUUAACUACUACUCCGUAUGUGGAUAAAUUCUUGUACCAUCUGAAAAGGUAUAGAAGAUAGUUAUCCUCAUAAAUAGGUUGCCUAAUUAAUUAGGUGAUCUUCAAUAAUUCAACAAGAUAGGGAUUUUAAAAUAUUUUUACUUUAUUAAUUCCUUAACUACUCCUUAAACUUCCUUUUUUUCCCCUUUUUGUGAAAAGCUCUUUACCCUCAAUACAUAUGAUAUAUUCCGUUGCUAGGAACUUGGGUUUGAGUAUGUAUUAAUUACUAUUCUUAAUCAAAUUUAUUAUUGAAAAAUUAUUUUUAGUUGUGGUUUUUUUAAUAUACUUAUUACACAUUUAUCAUAUGUACUUGUUUAAUAUACUUUAAUUUUUUUAUAUGUACUUAUUACACAUUUACAAAUUACAAACUAAAUUGCCUUUAAUUUUUUUAUAGUUGAAGGCCUUCUUUUCCACCCCCAGUCUCCAAUAAAUUAGACUCUACAAAGCUUCUUCUAUGCUACUCUCUGAUUCUACUUCUAGUGCAAAGCCUUGGCACUCUACAUUAUCUUGCUAUUGCUAAGAGACAAUCCAAGAAUAUUGAAGAUAAUGAAGUUAGGUUGUUGUAGUAUAAUACCUGAGUGCUUCUCUACUUGCAACUAUGGGACCGUACAUGAAGAAGCAUUUAAUAAAGGGUUUUAAGAAGCAUAACAUAUUUUUAAGGCCAAAUUAUUUACAAAUAAAGUGCAACAACUACAUAAAAAAUGAAUUUUGAUGAAUCAUGAUUGAGGGCGAAUUUAAUUUUCGUAAGGAAUUAUUAUUAUUAUUUUUAAAUCAAUUUUAUCACAAUGAAAGGAUCGAUGCAAAAAUUUAGUGCUUGUUUCUAUAUACUUAGUGUUAACUACUUUUAAAAAUGGAAAAUGAUUAUAACUUUUGUAUGAAAUGUAAAUUUUUAUUAGAAAAAUAUAUACUUCUAAACAAUUUUAAAAAACUAUUAUAUUUUUAUUGUAAGUAACAAAAAGCUCUUACAUUUUAUAUAAGAGUUACUAGCUUUUUCCAUUUUAAAAAAAGAAACACGAAUUGUUCCAAACACUACAUAGUUAUUAAAAAUAUUUAAUCUAAAAAAAAAAUUAUUUUUAGUAUAAAUUGAUUCAUUUAAAAUUUUUACAUCAAUUGUUUUACGAUAACAAAAUAAUUUAAGUAUCACACACAAAGUUAUGAAAAAAAAUAUGAUAAUUUUAUUUUAAAUGAUUCAGAAUAUUUCAAUGUUUUUUAAAAUAUAUUAAUUUUUUAAAAUAAAUUUAUUUAUAGAAAACGUGCAGUAAAUAUAUAAAAGAUGGAUGUGAUGAAACAUUAAUUAAAAUGAACUUCUUUUUUCAUAAAAGAAAUUUUAAGAAAAAUUAAUUUCACCACAAAGAAAUAUUUUCAAAGAUUUAGUAAUCAAAACUAUCAUAUUUAAACUCAAUUAUUUUUAUAAUUUAUGUUUAUCCCUACAACAAUUUUUUUUUUAUAAAUAUUUUACAAUAUAAGUGUACUAAGUAUAUUAUUUACAAAAAAAAAAUAAAAAUUGACACAUAGAAUAUCAAUCUCUAUUGCAAUCUAAGAAUGCUUAGGUUCCAAAACCUCAAUUCAUUCUUGUUAGCUUAAGGGUUCUCCUAAUCAGGUUUUGAUGAUAACAAACCAUGGUUAAGUUGCUAAUUGGUUUGAAUUAUAAAGAAUUUCAUUUAUUAAUUCGAGAAUUCAUCAAAGGACCAAAUGGAUGCAAGAUCAAGACCUUUGGAAGACCUUUAAUCAUAGGAAACAUAUAUAAGAUGAAUGCAUGGGUGCACUUAGGUUUUACAUAUCAUUUCAUGCAUUUUUGAAAAACUCGGUUUAUUCUUUAAAGUUAUAGUUUCAUCAAAAUCCGAGUUUUAUCAAAUGAACCUUAGACAAAUUACUUCAAAAUUGGCAUAUUAAUUUACCUAAAGACCUUGCCUAAGUGUUAGAAGAGAAAAUAACAUAAAAAUAUAGGUUUUCAGGCAAAAAAUGGUGAACCGGUUGAGGCAUUGGCCAAUCGGCUAGGGGUACCAGUUGACCGAUUCGCUCUUCGCGAUUGACUGGUUCCCUCUUCCUGGUUGACUGGUUCUCUCUUCUCAAUCGAGGUUUGGUCGAGGAGCGCAAAAAGUACUCUUUCUUCCAGUAGCCUUUCUUUCCCGAUCGAGGUAUUUGCCAUCUUGGUCGACCUCUGGUCAAGGUCCGAUCGAGGUCCGGUCAAGGGUAAUGGUCACUUACCAAACAUUAAAUGCUCCAACGGCUAGUGAACCGGUCAACCCCAGCUCGACCGAUUGAGGCUACUUUUUGGUUUUCUUGUCUCCCGAGCUUAGAAACCUAUAAAUAGAGAGUUUCACUUCAUUUUUAAGCAAGAGAACACUUGCAUUUAUUUGUCUACCCACUUGUUCUUGCCUUAAAAGCUCUCAUUCCUUUCUUGGCGCAUUAAAUUCCCAUUUGCAUAUCCUUUAGUGCACUUUUGUGAUUCAUCCUACUCUUGAGUUGUAUUUGAGCUAUUGUUGAGUUAGGCUGAGAGAUUCAUUCUUGUUAAUUGAGUGUUAAAGCCUUCAAGUGAGUUGAAACUUGAAGAGAUUGUGUAAGAGCCCAUUAGAGUCGAAAUCCAAGUGUAAAGGUGAUUAGAAGCUUGGUUGAAGCUUCAAGUUAGUGGAAUCCUCACUCGAUUAGGAGUUUGAGGAGAGUGGACGUAGGCAAGAAAGUGUCGAACCACUAUAAAAUUUGAGUUUGCUUUCUCUAACUCUAUCUCUUUAUAUUUGCUUCUCUUGUGCUUAAAUUUGUUUGUUUAAAAAGAAUUUUUUAAAAACCCAAUUCAUCCCCCUCUUGGGUGUUUUUUCUCAUUUAAGAUUAACCUUUAUUUUCUCAAUUCUUUUCUACCAGCCAUACCUACAUUCAUGAAUUAGAAAGAAUUAUUUUACUAUACCAUAGGAAUUAUUAUAGUAAAUGGAAAAAAUACCACUAUUGAACCCCAAAGUAUCUCAUAAUUUCUUGUUUGUUAUAUCUACACCUUAAACUUGUAGCUUUGGCUCCCUAUGGUGUCACAUAUUCUUCCUUACUAUUAGGAUAUAGCCCUUAAAAAAUUUAGGGUUUAUUAUUCAUUCAAUAAAGUUCCAAUUGCACUUUAAUUAAUCAAUAGUCCAUGCAUUAUACCUUAUGAGCAUUUAGACCUACAUCUUUGCAUUGUGAGUUGUAUGGAAGAUCCAAGUCAUGGAUUCCUUACAAGUAGAUGGGUUGUUCACAACUAGUUCAUGAACUUAGACAAUAUAUUAGACUUCUUAAUUGGAGGGAUGGUUAGUCUUGGCCAUUGGGACGGGUUUCCCAUGAUGAGUGCACUAAAGUGUAUGGUUACAUAUUGGACAGGACCUAUAGUGAACCGUACUGUAAGUUUAUCAAGUUGCCAUGACUUCACUAAGCUACUUUAUUGUAUUGUCUUUCAACCUUGAAAGAAUAUUGAACUUGAGCAAAAGUUAGUAGUGACUUUAACUUACGGGUAAGAUCUUAAAGUGAUCAUAUAUUCCUUAUGGAUUGGAUCAUUGUUGAUGAAAACUACUAACAACAGGUAUUCUCAAUAUAAGCACCAUGAUAUUUAAUGGGAUUGAGACAAUGUGUUCCCUUGGGUGAUCUUAAAGAUGUGUGUUUAGGUCAACCAUGGUCAUCAUAAUUCCUUAAGUGGAACUUGACAUUAGCUCUUGGUGAGCUUAGAUAAUAUGUCAAUUGAUCACACUCUAAGAGGAUUUGGAACUCAAAGAUGGUAAAGGUAAUCUUCAAAAUUUGAUAACUUUUACCUUGUUAGAUUAUGGACACCGGUUCAUGGGGAGACGUAGUGCUUAGGUCAUAGACCGACCCAAGUACUAAGCAUCUCGUUAUAUUUACGUAGUGUAUUGGAGUGUAGUAGUUGACUCUCUACUGUCAAAUGUAAAGUAAAUUUCAGAAUUGGAUUUUGAGGGAGUCAAUACUAUCAUAGGAGUCCCAAUUAUCCUCACUUGAGCUCAUAUACCUUGACGACACAGUUUAUGAAGGUUAGAUUGACUCUUAGUUCACUUAUGUGCAUAAGGCAUGUUGAUAAUUACAUAAGGUUAAAUAGGGGUUAGUGAACAGUAUCUCUAGAUUUGGCUAAUUGAUUCAUUAUUUAGUCCUAUUGGGUUAAUUAAUCAAUUAUAACCUUUUUUAGGCUAGAUUAAGUGACCUAAGCCCAUGGUGAACUCAAGUUACUUAAGCUUAGUAGGAAUCACUAUAAAUACCCAUUUAGGGGUUAAGGUUUCAAGCUUCUUCCAUUCAUACCCUACAUUUUAAAGAGAGAUCUCAAGCCUCCACCCUCAAAACUUCCAUUAUUUAAGUGCCAAGCUUCAAGGUUGAGUCAUGGGACGGAAGAUCAUGGGUUUAUGAGAUCUCUUGCAACUUUGAAUUUGUUAUUCAUAGCAAGGAAAUGAUUUGGGAAUUCUAAAUCAAUAGUAAGCACUCUAAUCUCAUUAUCUAGAUCCUAAAAUUGAUUUUAAAUGCAUAUUUUCCACUAUGCAUAGUAAUUAGAUAAGCAUAGGGAGGAUUGCAUGUAUCUAACCUGAUUUUAGGAUAGAGAAUGGAUUAAUCAAACAUUGCCUACAACUGGUAUCAAAAGCUUAGGUUAGGGAAACAUAUGAUCCCUUUUAGGGUGUGCUAAUCCUUGUGUUAUAGGAUUUGUUAUUCAUUUGAUGGUCCUAGGGAUGAAGGUAUAUGCAUGAGAUUUUUUGAACUUUUAUUAUGAUAAAUAUAUAUAGUGAUUGAUUGUUAGAUUGGUUUUUAUUAAUCUCUAGAUGAGUUGUAAACCCCAUAAUAAGUCUUAAGAUUUUUUUAUUUGCUAUAAAAAUCUUUUUUUUUGUUUUAUAGAUUGGUUUGUGAAGUUCAAAUGAUUGGAGUAUAGGGGUUUGAUGUGAAAAUCCAGUUUACAUCUAUCUAUGUAACCCAUAAUGAGUAUGGAAGCAUUCAAAUUCUUGUACAUUCCCUUAUUGGAAAAAAAAAAGUCCUUUUAAGGAAAAUAGUUACUAGAGGUACAAAAAUUCAUUCUCAGAUUUGGUUUCAUCAAGUGCUUAAGCACUCCUUCUAACACUCAAAAGCAACAUUUAAUGCUUGAAGCAUUUCAAGCUCUCUAAAGUUCCUUCAAGUGCUCCUAAAUGUUCUAGUAUCUGUUUUAGGGUUUUUAGGGGUAAUUUUGGUCUGUUGUAAAACCACUAACGUUAUUUUUGUUAUAGGAUUUUUUGGUAUGUUUGGAUAAUGAAAAUUUAAUAUUUAGGCUACCAAAUAAGCAACAGAACCCCUAAGUCCAUGAGAUUCCCUAUUUAUUUUAUUUUAUUUUCUUUUAUGUUUCUAUUCUAUAUUACAUAUGAUAAGAAGUUGAAUAAAAAUUUUUUCAAAAAUGGUAAUUUUGGAUUUUCUUAUAGAAAAUAAAUUUUCAUGAGGAUUGUCACCAAGUAUUAUUUAUUUUAGAAUUGGAUGUUUCUAUUAUUGGAUUGGCAUCCCUUUUGGAACUUUCCUAUUGUUUCUGGUUAGGUGGUUCUCUAGGCUCUCCCCUCGUGAGAAAGAUAACAACACCAAAGAUAGUCCUCUAGGUCCUCAUGAGAAAGAGAACAACAAAAACAGGAUGUGAUUUGUCCAUAUAAAAUUGUUUUAACAAUUUUUCUAUAUAUGUUGACUGAUGGACUAAUGUGUCAUUUGAUCAAUGCUUGAUCUACAAGCCGAGACAAUAUCUUGUUUUCCCUAAAUCUUUCAUUUUAAAUUCCUUCUUUAAAUAAUUGGUUAUUUUUGUGAGCUCUUUAAGAGUCCCUGUAAGGUUCAAAUCAUCCACUUAUACUGUAAUUAUUGUGAGCUUGGAUUAUGAUUUCUUAAUAAAAACACAUGGGUAAAAUGGCUUAUUCACAUAUUACUCUUUUAAUAAAUACUCACUCAAACGAUUAUACUACAUGUGUUCAAAUUGAUUUAAUUUAUAGAGAUCUUUGUAGUUUGAUUGAGUACAUAUUUCAAGGUUUUGAAUUAGUCGUUUUCAAGUAAUUUGAAUCCUUCAAGGAUUUUCAUAUAUAUGUCAGUAUCUAUAGACCCAUAUAAAUAAGUUGUAAUAACAUCCAUGAGACGCAUAUCUAGUCCUUUAGAAACUAUUAAACUUAUCAAGUAUCGAAAUUUGAUUGUGUCCAUUGCAGGAGAAUAAUUUUCCUCAUAGUUUAUAACAGGUCUUUGCAAAAAACCUUGAACAAGUCAUGCUUUAUAUCUUGUGAUGUCAUUAUUCUCAUUUCGCUUUCUCAUAAAGGCCCAUUUAUAUCCAACAUGCUUUAUGUUUUCAAGUGUUUGAAAUACAGGUCCAAAACCUCUCAUUUUGCUAACUAGUUUAGCUCUAUAUGGAUUACUUCUUUCCAUCUUGGUUAAUCAUUCCUUUUUCGAUGUUCAUCCACAGUUUUUUGUUCUUGAUCUUCAUUAUUUAUCAUGAUGUCCAUAAUUAAUUGGAACACAAAUAUGUUGUCUAUGAUAAUGUCAUUACGGUUCCUUGUUUGUCCUAUGUGACUCAUUGAGAUCUCUUUAGUUCUAAAUACCAGUAUUUAAUCAAUUAGUGCCUCUUUAGGAGCUAACUAUUUAUCAAGUUGGGUUUUAGCAUUUGAUCCUUUCCUAUUUGUAAGCUCUUCAAGAGUACCAAGUUUUUCAUAUGUCAUUCUUUUUCUUUUUUAGAAAUUGAAUCCUUUGAGCCAAUUGGUCUACCAUGCUUUAGGCGUGUCUUACAUUCACUUGCGAUGGCAUUCUCCUAUUAUCCUUUAGGGACAUCAAUAUGUGUAAGGUAUUCACAACUUGUACGUGUGACUUUGUUACUUUCAUUAUAUUUGUCAAAGCAUCAAGUAACUAAUUUGCAAGUCCUUAUAAAUGAAUAAUGAUUACUACUCAAAAAGUGCUAUUUGAUAGCCUAUAAUUAAUCCUUUUAAACACUUUUGAGUAGUAGUUUAGGUCUUUUAACUCAAUUGGCAUGUUAAGGAUCCUUUAAAGCAAUUUUAAUCACUUUGUGCAAGUUUUGGUGUUUUUGUUAGUAUUUUGAUCACCAAAGCAAGUCAAGACUGAGGAGAGCUAUGAGGAAUCUUGGGCAAAGCUUAGAAGUCAUUUGCCAAGAGUGAAUCCGGAUUGCAAGGAGAAAAAGCAAAGAGAAUCUGCCAUAAAGCAUAUUCUUGAUGACAGCAGUAGCAGCCACUUUUGGAGCACUUUCUGAAGUCCAAAUGAUGCAUGCUAUAUACCAUUUCAAAGCUCAGGAAGUCAACAAUCCAAUGCUUCAAACGGUGUGCAAUUCAUAGUUGAAACGAAGAAGUUGCAGCCGUUACAAGACAAUCACUCCGAGCUGAAGGAAGCAUUUUGCAAAGUGCUGCGAAAUCACCCUUUUGUUGCGAAGUGAUUUCGCAGCAUUUUUGUACAGUAAGGUGUUUCUCCUUCUGACGAUGCACGAUUUAUGCCGCGAGAAGGAAGCUAGGAACCUCAAGGUAGAAGCCAACUUCGCAGCCUUGUGAAGAUAGCUUGGUGUUGCAAAAAUAUUUCGCAGCCCUCUUGAGUGUCUGCGAAAUCUCGCAGACACCAUUUUUCUCCUGCGAAAUGGUUCCUGAAGCCUCCCGAUAUUUGCUACCGACAUUGGGAGAUAUUUUCCAUUAGAUUUUUGUUGUCUAAAUCCCAAAAUACUCCUUGUAAACCACCAAUUACAUGAUUCCUUAGUUUUAAGUUAGUAAAAAGACUAAAUAUCUAUGUAAUAAUUAGUUUUAUAUUAUGUUCAUAUAUAUACCUCUCGGGAGCCUGUUCUCGGGGAGGAGUUCCUUCUGUAAAAGUUUGGGUAAGCAAGUAAAGUCUCUUUUCUUUCUACUGCCUUACCUUCUCACUUUGUAUUUUUUACUUAUUACUAAGUUAUGAACUCUCUGAGGAGUUUUCCCCAGAGAAUGAGUAACUAAACCUCUAAUUCCUUGGAGCUAAGGUUGCCGGGGGAGGUUCCAAGUGCAAGAAUGCAAAGCUUUGUGGUUUUAGCUAGUAAUGAAGAGGAAGUGAAAUCCUUCAAUGAUUUCUAUGUUUUUAGUUAACUUAAAACACCUUGGAGUCACCUAGGCCAACACUUGGUAAGGCAAGUGAUUUCCAACCAUGGAAAUGCACUAGUUUACCCCUUGCGAGCCUCUGGGAGGUGACUUGAAGGUAGGAUUUUCUAGAAUUGCCAACACUUGGUAAGCUUUUGGACUCCUAGGAGACAUCCAUUAGUUAUCUCUUGCGAGCUUUUGACGGGUAAUCCAAGGUUAAAGAUCACCUUGAAUGGUUAAGGCUUAGUGAGAGGCUUAAACCAUUGCAAGUUGCAUCAGUGAGAGAAUUAAAGUGAAAUCUAAUUGAAGGAGUCUCUGUACAUCACCGGUUAGAGAAUUGACUAUAUGUUGAAUCUCUAAUGCGAGGAAAUGAACCAUCUGACCAAAGCCGUGUCUUUUGCAUGAGGAACCACCCCAGUGAACCUAAAUCUCCAAGGAAUGCUUUUCUUCCUAAAUUAUUCCAAACUUCUGUUAUGUUAGUUAGUUUAAGUCUAAACCUUUACCAAUCAAAGUUUGUGUUUUACUUCUUAAGCUAACCUUGAAAUGAAACAAGGCCAAUUCACUUGGAAUUGGUAUCAUUGAUUGCUUGUUAAUCAUUCCCAGUGAACGAUCCUAGAGCCACUAUACUAUAGUAGCUUUGUCUUUGCUACCCUAGUAUAUGGUGUUAUAGGUUAUAAAUUUUGUUGAUUACUCCCUCAAUCAAGGAGCACCAGCUGGACACAAAUCAGCUGAGACACCAAUUGGGCACGAAUCAAAUAAUCCUAUGAAAUUCUAAUUAACACUGCCUUGCACGAGGAUCAAGAUGAGACAAAGAGGAUACAUAACAUGUAAUGUCUCGCCAUUGUUCUGGAUUUGAUUUGUCACCCGUAAUGGUGGGAAAACAUUUUCAUCAAAAUGAAAAUCUACAAAGUGGGCAAUAAAAACAUCGCUUAUUAAAUGUUCAAGAUAGCUAAUAAUGGAGGGAGAAUUAAAACCAACAUAUAUACCAAGUAGAUGUCGAGGACAUAACUUAAAACAUUGAGGUAGAGCUAUGGGAACAUAGACAAUACAACCAAAAAUAAGUAAAUAUGAAACAUUUAGUUGGGAGCCUAAAAUAAGUUGUAAAUGUGAGAAUUCAUGAAGUUGUAGAACAAAAUGUGAAUUAAAGUAACUACAUGGAGAAUAGCAUGUCCCCAAGUAGAUAAAGGCAAUUUUGUUCUCAGGAAUAACGGUUUUGCAAUCAAUUGCAAAUGCUUAAUAAGAGAUUUAGCUAAUCCAUUUUGAGUGUUAGUAUGAGCAAUAGGAUGUUCAACAUCAAUACUAACCGACAUACAAUAAUCAAGAAAUAUUUGGGAAGAGAAUUCACUAGAAUUAUCAAGACAAAUUGUCUUAACAGGGUUGUGAAACCAAGGUUUGGUCAAUCUUAGUUUUGAUGAUAACAAAAUAAGGUUUGGAAUUAAUGAUUAUAUUUCAAUUGUGAUUAGUCGAGAUGACUUUCAAAGUGGCAAUCAUAAAGACAAAAUCAAGCCAAAGGGAAAUCAAUAAGGUGAAGAAGACCUCAAAGAGAAAUGUCUUUCAAGACCUAAGUUUCAUAGGAUCUCUUUGUAAGGUUGUUAGUGCAUUUGUUUUUUUUUAUGCAUUACAUUAUUUACUUAUGCACCAAAACCAUCCAAGAGUUAUUUUGUUUCAAAUAUUUUAAAAUCGGAUGAUUUCAUGUUUUCUAAACUUUUUAAAAAGGUUUUAAGUUAAAAAAAAAUGGUUGUUAAGCCAAAAAUGGCUCAACCGGCUAAACUGGCUAAAGAACUGAUUGACCUAUUUAGUUCAACCGAUCGAAUUAUGCAAAAACCUUCUCUAUAUUCUAGAAUGCUUUUUCGACCGGUCGAGGCUAAACCUCAUCUAGUUGAGUACGAAUCGAGGGGUGGUCAAGAGACGAUUGAGGUCCAUUGGUCACCUGCCAUGCAUUAAACGUCAACGGUUAAUGAACUCAUCGAAUUAGAGCUCAACUGGACGAACCCCUAACAGCUAGUUUAACAUUUUUCUUCUAUAACUAGUCUUCAUUGUUUUAAGAGCUUAACCUUCCAAAACCUUUCUUGAAUAUACUUAAGCCUUGGGAGAGUGUUUUUGAGUGCAUCAUUAUUAUGAAACUUGCAUAUCAUUAACGCACUUUUCAAUCCUAGUUUAUCUCUUAUCAUUUGAGCCUAAAGUUUUGUACUAGGGUUUUGUGAGAUUAUUUUUCAUCCUUAUUUGUAAAUCUUUGAGAAGAAAAGGCUAAGUGUGAGGUAUCACUUAAGGAUUCUCAAGUGUGAGGUAUCACUUUAGGGGUUGUUCAAGAGUGAGGUAUCUCUUGAGGAUUGUAAAGGGUGCUUGGAGCCAAAAGUCCAAGAGGAUUGAUUGGAACCAUAAUCCAAUUGGAUUGCUUGAAGGCUUGGAUUGGAAGCCUUGAAUUAGUGAAACCUCAAGCUUGGGAUUGAAGCUAGAGAAGAGUGAACGUAGGCCAAGUUCCGCCAAACCAUUAUAAAAAUCUUAUGUUUGCAUUCGGGAUCCCAAGUCAUUCAUAUCAUCCAUAACCCUGAGUUGUUCAUAUGAUCCAGAGCCCUGAGCUCACGACUUAGAGUAGCACAUGUCAUCCAUAAUCCUAAUCUUUUUAUAGAAUCUAGAGCCAUGGGUUCACAACCAAAAUCAUUCACAUCAAUCAUAACCUUUUAUCUCAUGACCCAAAGACAUUUAUAUCAUACAUGACAUUGAGCCGUUCAUAACAUCAAGAGCCCUAAACUCCUGGCUCGGAUUAGUUAUUGUCAUCCAUAGCCCUGAGUUUUUCAUAGCAUCUAGAGCCUGGAGCUCACGACCUGGAGUAGUUCAUGUCUUCCACAGCCCUGAGUUAUUCAUAACAUCUAGAGCCCUAAGCUCAUGACCUGUAGUUGUUCAUGUUAACCACAACCCUAAGUUAUUCAUUGCAUCUAGAGUCUUAAGCUCAUAACCCCAAGUCGUUUAUAUCAUCCACGAACUUGAGUUGUUCAUAGAAUUUAGAGACCUAAGCUCACGAGGUGAAGUGGUUCAUAUCCUACACUUCCUUAUGUUUUUUGUAGCAUUUAGAGACCUAAGCUCAUAACAUGCAGACAUUCAUGUCCUCCACCGCCCUAAGUUGUUCAUAGCAUUUAGAGCCUUGAGCUCAUGACUCAGAGUCGUAGAUGUCAACCAAAGUCCUGAGCUGUUCAUUUCAUUUAGAGCCCUAAGCUAAUGACCUCAAGUCAUUUAUGUCAUUCACAAUCCUAAGCUAUUCAUGAAAUUCAGAGACCUGAGCUCAUGACAUGGAAUCAUUCAUGUGCUCUACCACUCAAAUCUUUUCAUAGAUCUAGACCUAUAAGAUCACAACCAAAAUCGUUCAUGUCAUCCAAAAUCCCGAGUUGUUCAUUUUAAUAGCCUUGAGCUCACGACCUAAAGUCAUUGAUGUCAACCACAACCCUAAGUUGUUCAUAAAAUCUAGAGCCUUAAGGUCACGACCCAGAGUCGUUCAUGUCAUCCACAACCCUGAGCUAUUCAUAGUAACUAGAGCCUUUGGCUUACAACGAAGAAAUGUUCAUAUCAUCCACAACUUUGAGCUAUUCAUAGCUUCUAAAGCCCCAAGCUCAUAGUACCCUGAGUUGUUCAUGUCUUCCAUAACCCUCUACUCUUCAUACCCGUGAUUUUCUACCAAAAAUUGCCAUGAAAAAGUCUUCACAUGCAUCUCAUGCAUCCUCUUGCAGUCGUCUGAAGACAAGUCAGUGUGCUUUGCUUCACUAAAAUUCAACGUGCACCAAGUCUCUAUGUAAAGAUGAGUCGGUUGCAACCCUCCUAAAAUUUCUCCAUUAACGGAUCCCAAGUAUCUCCACCAAAAUCAUACAAAGAUAAAUACAAAAAAUAAAAAUUAGAAAUUAGAUAAUAUUUUAAAAUAAAUAAAUAAAUAAAUAAAAUCUCAAAUGAUGCAAUGAGGGCAAAAAAAAAAAAAAAAGAAUAUCAAUCACAUACGUAGUUAAGUAGAAAAAAGAAUAUUAUUCCAUGUAACUUAAAAGAUUAGAUUCAAAAUCUCAAGCAAUUUCCUAAAAAAUAAAUAAAUGAAUGAAUGAAUAACCUAACAAAAGAAUAAGUAAAUAAAUGAACAAAUAAAUAUCACAUGGGCAAUUAGAAUUUGAAAAUAAAAAUAAAGCAAUAGAAAACAAUGAAAAACGGAUGCAAUCAAGAAUCAAAAUCAAGUCCAAACAAAUGUCCAAAAUGACCUAUUAUGAAAAAAGUGCCUAAGUGACCUAGGGUGAAUGUGUGCAAGCUGGAAGGUGCCUAGGUCAAUCUAAGUGGGCCUAGGUGAACCUAGAUGAGUCUAACCUAAAGUGCAAAUUAAGGUUGCCGAGGGUCACAAUGGGGUUAGAUAAAUCUCUCGAUCAGAGUCUUCGAGGUGGCUCAAAAAAGGUAAGUAUAGUAUGAGUAACAAUGGACCACCAAGGAACUACUAUGGAGCACUAGAAGUGAACUUAAAGACAUGUGCUAAAGGGACAAAAUCAAGGGUCUACAUAUAUGUUUAAUUUACUUUAAACAUUUGAAUAACAUUGUUUUUAUUUAUAAAAAUAAAAUAAAUUUUAAAAAUCAAAUUUCAUUUCUUUUACAACAUACAUUUAUAUUAAAUUAUUUAUAAUUAUUAAUUAAUUUGCUAUUAAAAAUAUAAUAAUAAUAUAUCUUAACAAGGAAAUUUUGAAUUCUUGAAAAAAUGUUUAAAAUAAUUGUUAUAAAUGAAGUGGUGAAUGCCACCACAUCGUUAUAAUAAAUGUUAAUUAAACAUUAUUUAUGACUUCUAUUAAUUCAAUAUUAAUGGAAGCCAUUUAGAAAGUCUAUAGAAAGGUUUCCCAUCCCCUAUGCAAGGAGCAUCCUGAGAAAAGAAGCAGUCUCUCAUUCUCUCUGUUUUUCAUUCUCUCAUCUCUCCUAAUUUUCUUCUCUAAUUUCUUUCUCCCCAUUAUAUAUUGUUAAAGUAAUAUAUAUUUGUCUCUACUUUUAUUUGCAUUUAUUAUGGUUUUGCAACAAUAAUUUUUAUUUUUAUUUUUCUAUUUUAAAUACACAAAACUUGGGUUCACAUUUUGGUUGUUAAGUGGUCUUAACAUUUCUAUGUGUUUUAAAUAUGGUUCCUGCUUUUUAUUUUUAAAAUAGUAAUAACAGUAAUCAUUAGUAUAAUGUACAUAAAAAUAAUACUUGUAAAGAAAGAAAAAAGAAGAAGUAGUUUUUAAGAUAAUAGAAUGGUAUAAUGUAUGACUAUUGAAAUGUUAAUCAAGCUAAAUAUUAACAAAGUUUUAUUUUACCAUUGCAUAUAUUUUUAAAUGAUACAUUUAUAUUAUGUAAUAGAAUUAGAAACAUGAAUAUUUUUACAUUUCAUUGUUUAUCCUAAUUAUGAUAUAAUAUGCUAAAUUUUAACUAUAAAAAGAUGAAAUAAUUUUAAUUAUUUGUAUAUUUUUAAUUUUCAUUAUAUGUAAAUUACAUAUUUAUCAUGUAUGUUCACAUCAUUAUUCUACGUAAUUCAAUCAUUGAUCUAACCAGUGAACUAUUGAUCGAUUUUUAUUUAAUAACUGGUUCGACUUUGAAAAUAUUGUGAGAUACAUCAAGAUGCUUUUUUUAAAUAAAAAAAAUUAUUUAUUAGUUUUAAGAGAAUAUCUAUUAAUGUUUUCAUUUAUGAACAUGAAAUAAUUUUUUUAAAAUCAAAUUUCCUUUGUUUUAUAAUAUGUAUUUUAUUUUAAAAUAUUAUUAAUAAUUAUUGAGUAAUCUGCUAUUAAAAAUAUCACAAUAAUACCUUUAUAUCUUCAUAAGGAAAUGUUGGAUUCAAAAAAUGUUUUAAAACAAUUAUGAUUGGACUUCUUGGUUUCGGUUAAUAUUCCAUGCCUUAAUUACAGUCUUAAUUUGGGAUUGAAUUAGGGUUGUAACUAGAUUGGAAUGCUAACUUUGGCUAUGCCUUUCUAGCUUCAUCAACUGAUCCUGAAGCCUCUGUUAUAUUGGCUUCAGUGGCAUCCACUGCCUUUAUUCUAUAAAUAAAAUAAAAUAAAUUACAACCGGAAAGUUUAAUUUGUAAUGUGAUUUUUAAAAAUUUAAGUCCAAUAUAUAUUAUUUACUCAUAAUAAUAAUAGUUUUAUAUCUUUAGAAUAAAUUAUUAAUUCCUGAAAAGUGUUUUAAAAUAUUUAAUUUUUUUUAAUAAACAAAAUUCACAAUUUUGGUUGUUGAGUGGUCCUAACAUAUUUCUUUUAUUUUUCUUUUAUUGUUUAUAGUAAGUCUCCAAGACCUUCCUUGGUAACACGAACUCUUCACCAACCAACCUCACAGGCUCCGCUCCAUAGAGGCAACUUCACAUCUAUGUGGGAACCAACCAAAAUUGAAAAGAAAAAAAAUCUACGAAUUAUUUAAUUUAGGAAACUUCCACCAACCGACACUCGUUGAACUUGGACACCGUAUGUCAUUUGGAUGAAAUUUUAUUUUAUUUUAUUUUUCUUUCUAUUUAAAAAAUAAAUAUUUUUAAAUUUCAAAAUAAAUAUAUUUUAUUAGUUUUGUUUUACGCUUCUCAUAGUCUCAAAAAGACUAUUGAGAAAUUUAAAAACAGAAAAAAAUAUAUGAAUCCAACCAUUUACAAAUUAAAUUCAAUUUUCGUUAUAAAAUGAGAAAUAAAAAUAAAAGCACAAAUAUAUAUUUCUAGGAAGUAGGGUAUUCAAGUUGAGGUUUGUUCGGAAUGCUGCCAAAUAUUUUAACGCAAGAAAAAUGCUUCAGCCAAAACAAUGGUCAAAUGAGGCAGCGCAAGAGAUUUAUCCCUUUUUAAAAAAUCGCAACUGGAGGGUGGAGGCUGAAGGGCGGAUGUCAUACAAAAUUGACUACUUUCUCAGUAAUCCCCUCCACGUGACUCAAAUCAGCACGGAAGUAUUGAACAAGACCCCACCACCAGCUACAAGUGGGUUGGAAGUGGACACAGCAUUUCUGAUACUUAUAAAUACCCAACGCUCACACACUGCUUUGGCAACCCAUCUUCAAGCACCAGUCCGCAUACUCUUCUCUUUUCUUCUACCGCUUUGAAGCUCUGUGGGGGAUUUUACUAGUCAUCAAUGGCAUCUGUGGAGGACAUUAGAAACGCUCAACGUGCCAAGGGGCCGGCCACCAUUCUAGCCAUUGGCACUGCUACUCCAGACAACUGUGUCUACCAGUCCGAUUACGCUGAUUACUAUUUCCGGGUCACUAAAAGCGAGCACAUGACCGACUUGAAGAAGAAGUUCAACCGCAUAUGUAAGUAUAUAUAUUCAUGCAUCAAUUGGAACAUCCAUUACAUACAUAUAUGUAUAAUUAUCAUAAUGCUUUAAGAUUCCCCUGCAAGAAUUGCCAAGUUUUCUUCAAGCUUCCUGUGUGUUGCUUUUCUGUAAACUAAUUAAAUCUGUGAAAAAUGAGGCGCUAUACAUUGAUUUAAUAUUUCGUAAUAGCGCUGCUCUUUCCAAUCCUAUAUAAAUUAAUUGCCCUGCCUAGGAACACAUAGUUAUUGUAAUAAUAAGUAAUAAUCUAUUUUAUAUUUAUGUUGAUCAUCUUGAGUGAUAAUGAAGCUGCCCAUUAUUACUGAAUGAAUUUUGCUUUGCUAGUCCAUUAGCUAAUAUAUUAAAUUCCUUUAACUUAUAUAUAGGUGAGAAAUCAAUGAUCAAAAAGCGAUACAUUCAUUUGACUGAAGAAAUGCUUGAAGAGCACCCAAACAUGGGUGCUUACAUGGCUCCAUCGCUCAACAUACGCCAAGAAAUUAUCACUGCUGAGGUACCUAAGCUUGGUAAGGAGGCCGCAUUGAAGGCUCUUAAAGAGUGGGGCCAGCCUAAGUCCAAGAUCACUCACCUUGUAUUUUGUACAACUUCGGGAGUAGAAAUGCCGGGUGCAGACUAUAAACUAGCCAAUCUUCUAGGCCUCGAAACAUAAGUUAGAAGAGUGAUGUUGUAUCAUCAAGGCUGCUAUGCAGGUGGGACCGUUCUCCGAACUGCUAAGGAUCUCGCAGAGAAUAAUGCAGGAGCACGAGUUCUUGUGGUAUGCUCUGAAAUCACGGUUGUUACUUUUCGUGGGCCUUCUGAAACCCAUUUAGACUCUUUAGUGGGUCAAGCCCUUUUUGGUGAUGGGUCAGCAGCUGUAAUUGUUGGAUCAGAUCCAGAUACCUCCAUUGAACGACCACUCUUCCAACUUGUUUCAGCGGCCCAAACAUUCAUUCCUAAUACACAAGGUGCUAUUGCUGGCAACUUACGAGAGGUGGGUCUAACCUUUCAUUUGUGGCCUAAUGUGCCUACUCUCAUUUCUGAGAAUAUAGAGAAGUGCUUGACUCAAGCUUUUGGCCCACUUGGUAUUAGUGAUUGGAACUCCUUGUUUUGGAUCGCUCAUCCAGGUGGCCCGGCCAUUCUGGAUGCAGUCGAAGCAAAACUCAAUUUGGAGAAGAAGAAACUUGAAGCAACAAGACACAUCUUAAGUGAGUACGGUAAUAUGUCAAGUGCAUGUGUGUUGUUUAUUUUGGAUGAGAUGAGAAAGAAAUCACUUAAGGAAGAAAGGACCACCACAGGUGAAGGAUUGGACUGGGGUGUUUUAUUUGGUUUUGGGCCAGAUUUGACCAUUGAAACUGUUGUGCUGCAUAGCGUUGUUGGGGCUACAAAUUGAGUGAAAGGAGACAAUUUCAAAUUAAAUCAAAUAGGAGUUAAUAAAGACAUAUGUCUUUUAUUUGUAACAUCUUUUAUUCUUUAUUUAAAUUGAUGUUUGUGGUUUAAAUUAGUGCUUGUCGGAGGGCUUCAUUAGUAACCUCAAGUUAAAAGGGAUGAGACAUCAAGUUCUUACAGUUUUGUUAUCCAGAUGAAAUUCCCUCAAAAGUUGUAUAAACAUCCACCGUGUUCUUUUAAAGAUUGUUGAGAGUAAUACAAAGAAAAGAAUAAAAUAAUAAAUUGCAUUUUCCCUUUGUAACUAA